AACGUAGGUGGCAAGCGUUAUCCGGAUUUACUGGGCGUAAAGCGUGUGCAGGCGGGUGGACCAGGGGGGUAUGAAAUCGCCAGGCUAAACCUGGCGGGGUUAUGCCAGACUGUUUAUCUGGAGUGCGAGAGAGGGGCGUGGAAUUCCGGGUGUAGUGGUGAAAUGCGUAGAGAUCCGGAGGAACCCCAGAGGCGAAGGCGGCGCCCUGGCUCGCAACUGACGCUCAGACACGACAGCAUGGGGAGCGAACGGG
rnacentral:rRNA from 1 species